AUUGAACGCUGGCGGCAUGCCUUACACAUGCAAGUCGAACGGCAGCAUGGGUGCUUGCGCCUGAUGGCGAGUGGCGAACGGGUGAGUAAUGCAUCGGAACGUACCCGGAAGUGGGGGAUAACGUAGCGAAAGUUACGCUAAUACCGCAUAUUCUGUGAGCAGGAAAGCGGGGGAUCGCAAGACCUCGCGCUUCCGGAGCGGCCGAUGUCGGAUUAGCUAGUUGGCGGGGUAAAGGCCCACCAAGGCAACGAUCCGUAGCAGGUCUGAGAGGAUGAUCCGCCACACUGGGACUGAGACACGGCCCAGACUCCUACGGGAGGCAGCAGUGGGGAAUUUUGGACAAUGGGCGCAAGCCUGAUCCAGCCAUGCCGCGUGAGUGAAG
rnacentral:rRNA from 1 species